UGGCCACCAAGAGCCCAGAGCCUGUGCAUGUGGCUGCUCCCCUGGAAACUGGCCACAGGAAUGGGGGGGCGGGGGGUUGGAGCCACUGGGGCCCACUUGUAGCUGAAUCUCGGGCCUGGCUGCUGGGGCCCACUUGGAGGUAGUGUGCAGGCCAGACCCAGCUGGGGAAGAAGGGGUGCCAAUAGUCACCUCCACCAACUACAGCACCCAAAGAAAUCCCAGAAGGACCUCGAAGCACGGGGGUAGGUAAGCCCUCCCUGGCCUAGCCCGCUGUUCUCCCCCCCCCCCCCCCCCCCGCCUCCAGGCAUAUCUGGGCUUCAAAGCCAGGCACAUGUGGAAGCAAUUAGACCUGAAGGCAGAGGCGGUGCCAAGCGCCCAGAACUGUGCCCCACGGCCACUUUGAAGUGCUCUGAUGCAGGGUGAGCGGGAGUGGGAGGGGAAGCCUGGGCCAGCCCAGCCUGGAGGCAGGGUGUGCCCCUUCGCCAUGCCAGGACUGGGAGGCCCCACUGCACUGGCACUGCCAGGAAGGGUGGGUGCCCAGGGGGCCCGGCGUCCCUUUCUGGAGGAAGAACAGGAGGACUGAAAAGGGACACAAAGCAGACGCCAUGUGGCUGGCCUACUGAGUGUGUGGCUGUCAGUGACAGGACGCGUGAGGCAGCCAGCUGCUGGGGCUCCCAGAUCAAAGGCCUGCACUGCUGGCAGCCAGGCAGGCCCUCCCCUAGGACCCCUCUUUCCUGAGGAGUGGGCCUCUGGGGUCAGUGCUUGAGGAUGCUGGAAUCCAGGGCCUGAACACCCAGCCCCCGCCCCGCCUGCAGUUCCCCAGAGACACAGAGCCAGGGUCCCAAAGGCCCCCUCUACCAGUCCACCAGUGUUCAGCGAGAAAGGUACAAUCCCCAAACACAGGAAUCCCAGUGAAGACUUGAGUGCCCACAGAGAACCAAGUCCCAGCACCAACGGGUCCCACCAGACCUGCUAUCAGACUCUGACCCUGCACACUGGUGGCACCACAGCUAAGAAGCCAACAGGACCCAACACACCCAAUCCAAAACGAUCUGUGUACACAUAUGUUCUUGGCAGCACAAUUUGUAAUAGCUAAAACAUGGAAGCAACCCAGAUGUCCAACAACAGCUGAGUGGUUGAGCAAGUUGUGGUAUAUAUACACAAUGGAAUACUACUCAGCUGUAAAAAAUGGUGACUUCACCAUUUUCAGCCGAUCUUGGAUGGACCUUGAAAAAUUCAUGUUGAGUGAAAUAAGUCAGAAACAGAAGGAUGAAUAUGGGAUGAUCUCACUCUCAGGCUGAAGUUGAAAAACAAGAUCAGAAAAGAAAACACAAGUAGAACCUGAAAUGGAAUUGGCGUAUCACACCAAAGUAAAAGACUCUGGGGUGGGUGGGUGGGGAGAAUACAGGUCCAAGAAGGAUUCAGAGGGCCUAGUGGGGGUUGUAUUGUUAUAUGGGAAACUGGGGAAUGUUAUGCAUGUACAAACUAUUGUAUUUACUGUUGAAUGUAAAACAUUAAUUCCUCAAUA